rnacentral:rRNA from 1 species
UACGUAGGCAGCAAGCGUUGUUCGGAAUUACUGGGCGUAAAGAGUGUGUAGGCGGUGCUCUAAGUUUGGUGUGAAAUCUCCCGGCUCAACUGGGAGGGUGCGCCGAAUACUGAGAGGCUAGAGUGCGGGAGAGGAAAGUGGAAUUCCUGGUGUAGCGGUGAAAUGCGUAGAUAUCAGGAGGAACACCGGUGGUGUAAACGGCUUUCUGGACCGUAACUGACGCUGAGGCACGAAAGCGUGGGUAGCAAACAGG